ACUAAAAAUAAGAAUAAAUAAAAUAGAAAAAGAAAUAGACGUUUAUAUAGUACGCAAUGAUAAUUUUGCAUAUGACCUUAUCCUAGGGCUAGACGUCAUAAAGAAAUUCAAAUUAAAACAAGAUGAGAACUAGAGAGUCACUCAAAAAGUAAGUGACAAAGAAUAAUCAGAAGAAAAAAGAGAUAAACAUUACCGAAGACAUGGAGACGGACAAAUUUAUAGACAACCUUGGACACUUAAAUAACUCACAAAAGAGAGCGGUAUUUUAACUUAUAGAGAAAUACAAAGAAGUAUUUGCCAAACACAAAUUCGAUGUGGGAACGAGAAAAUUACAAGAGGCCUCCAUAAAGCUAACCGAAAACAGAACACGAUCUCAUAGAGGAAUCAAGUUCACCAUUUGCAGCACCAGUGACACUGGCUUUUAAAAAAGAAUCGAAUCGGAGAGAUAGACUGUGUAUCGAUUUCCGGGAGAUAAACAAUAGUGUAGUUCCGGAAUCACAACCAUUCCCAAGAAUAGAAGACAUCAUAGUCAAAGCGGGAAAUUGCCAUUUCUUCUCAACAUUUGACAUUAAUUCAGCGUUCCGGCCAAUUCCAAUAAAAAAAGAGGACCGAGAGAAGACAGCCUUCAUAAUACAAAAUGGGCACUGGCAAUGGAAAUGUUUACCGUUAAAAAUCUCUCCUGCUAAUUUCUAACGAGUGCUUGCAAAUAUUCUUAGAAGAAAUGGCCUAACAGAAUUCUGCAUAAACUAUAUUGACCGCAUCCUAGUUUUCUCGAAAACAUUCGACCAACAUAUCAAAUAUAUAGAGCAGUUAAUGAAGGUUAUAAACCAAGAAGGUUUCCGAUUAAAACUGGUAAAAUGUAGGCUAGCAGAAAAGUCAGUAAAAUAUCUGGAUCAUAUCAUCGAAAAAGACGGUGUGUGACCAGGGAGAGAUAACUUCAAAGCGAUACGGGAAUUUGAACGCCCAAGAAACAAGAAAAACGUGAGACAACUACUAGGAAAAAUUAGUUUUUAUUACAAAUUUAUAGAAGACGCGUGAAAAAUUCUUGGAACCACGCCACAAUUUAUUAAGGAAAAAUGUAGAAUUUAUUUGGAACGAAGAAUGUGAAAAAUCAUUUCAAAAGAUUAAAGAAUACCUCUGUUCAAGUCCAAUUCUUUCAAUAUACGAUCAAAACAAAGAAGUAUUCAUUUAUACAGAUGCAAGUGGAAACGGUUUAGGAGCUGUCUUAAAGCAACCUCGAGACAACGGGACGUUACAUCCGGUUGCGUUCUUUUCAAGAAAAUUAAAACCAACAGAGGCAAAGAAAAGAGCAAUCCACCUCGAAUGUCUGGCUAUUAAAGAGGCGAUUUACUGGAAACAUUGAUUAAUCAAUAGAUAUUUCACUGCUCUCAGACCAUAAACCGUUAGAGUCAAUGAGAAUUAAAGCAAGAACCGAUGAAACUUUAGGAGACCUAAUGCACUACCUAUCGCAGUAUGAUUUCAAAGUCAUCUACUCGCCGGGAAAAGACAACGUAGAAGCAGCUGCACUAUCCAGGAACCCCGGCUUAGAAAGUUUUGAAAAUGAAGAAAACGUUCUGAAAGUGGUGAAUAUUAUUACAAAGAAGGAUAUAAUUCAAGAUCA